GCGAAAGUGACGGUACCUGCAGAAGAAGCACCGGCUAACUACGUGCCAGCAGCCGCGGUAAUACGUAGGGUGCGAGCGUUAUCCGGAAUUAUUGGGCGUAAAGAGCUCGUAGGCGGUUUGUCGCGUCUGUCGUGAAAGUCCGGGGCUUAACCCCGGAUCUGCGGUGGGUACGGGCAGACUAGAGUGCAGUAGGGGAGACUGGAAUUCCUGGUGUAGCGGUGGAAUGCGCAGAUAUCAGGAGGAACACCGAUGGCGAAGGCAGGUCUCUGGGCUGUAACUGACGCUGAGGAGCGAAAGCAUGGGGAGCGAACAGGAUUAGAUACCCUGGUAGUCCAUGCCGUAAACGUUGGGCACUAGGUGUGGGGACCAUUCCACGGUUUCCGCGCCGCAGCUAACGCAUUAAGUGCCCCGCCUGGGGAGUACGGCCGCAAGGCUAAAACUCAAAGGAAUUGACGGGGGCCCGCACAAGCGGCGGAGCAUGCGGAUUAAUUCGAUGCAACGCGAAGAACCUUACCAAGGCUUGACAUGUUCUCGAUCGCCGUAGAGAUACGGUUUCCCCUUUGGGGCGGGUUCACAGGUGGUGCAUGGUUGUCGUCAGCUCGUGUCGUGAGAUGUUGGGGUUAAGUCCCGCAACGAGCGCAACCCUCGUUCCAUGUUGCCAGCACGUAAUGGUGGGGACUCAUGGGAGA
rnacentral:rRNA from 1 species